rnacentral:tRNA from 1 species
GUCCAGGUAGCUCAGUGGUAGAGCAAAGGAUUGAAAAUCCUUGUGUCGGUGGUUCAAUUCCACCUCUGGACA